CGGCCGCGUCGACGAACCACUUCGGUGGUGAGCGGCGAACGGGUGAGUAACACGUAGGUCAUCUGCCCAUCAGACGGGGACAACGAUUGGAAACGAUCGCUAAUACCGGAUAGGACGAAAGUUUAAAGGUGCUUCGGCACCACUGAUGGAUGAGCCUGCGGCGCAUUAGCUAGUUGGUAGGGUAAAGGCCUACCAAGGCGACGAUGCGUAGCCGACCUGAGAGGGUGAACGGCCACACUGGGACUGAGACACGGCCCAGACUCCUACGGGAGGCAGCAGUAGGGAAUCUUCGGCAAUGGGCGAAAGCCUGACCGAGCAACGGUCGACGCGGCCG
rnacentral:rRNA from 1 species